AAAGGAAAGAGAUGCUCAAAUUCCCAACAAUGGUAUCUACUGGAGCUGUAACUUUGAUCUAGGUUUUCCAGAUUCUCAAAACACUGACUAUUGAGAUGGUGGCUGAAGUACUGAUGGAAGCAUUGGUGAUGAUGGUAGGAGUAGGUGCAGUGGUGUUGACACCAAAGCAAAUUCCAAAAGUUACAAAGAAUAACGAUAGCUAAUAUUGAUAUGCACUUAUUCUGUCAGACACUCUCUUGAGUGCCUUACAUUUAUUAACCGUGAAAUCCUCAAACUACGUUAUGCGAUAAGUUUUAUGAUUCCAUGUUUUAGAAGAAAAAACUAAAAUGCUGAUACAUUAAUUGUUUUGACCAAGAUGUCACAGAUGAGUGGUAUAAUCAGGAUUGUUUGAAUCUAGUUUUGAGUCUAAAACUAGUAUCUCAGUCUCUACAGUAUUUUACUUUUCCAGAAAGUUGCAGACUAUCACUGCUUUGUAAUUUAAUGUUUUCAGUCUGGCAUGGUAGGAAAAGUACAAAGCUUUUGAAAGAAAGAUACAAGUCCCUGCUCCAUCAUUUCUAAUCCAGUAAGCUAUUUCCUCAUCUUAUAUAGUGAGAAAUUUCUGCCCCGCCUAUCUAAAUUAUAAGAUGAUCUCAGAUAAAGUAUUUUGCAAACUGAACAUUUAAUUGUAAUAAAUGCUGCCUUUUCUGCAGCUACUUUUGUUCUCAAUAAAAUUUAGUUAUUUUAAGCCAA